GAGGAGCAGGGGGGUUCCGUGCAGGUGGCUCUGGCGAGGGAUUGCAAGUCGGAUAGCCACAAGUUCCAUGGGGCGUGCUUCAGCGACACCAACUGCGCGAACGUCUGCCAGACCGAGGGCUUCACCGGCGGCAAGUGCGACGGCAUCCACUGCCACUGCACCAAGGACUGCUAGAUGCCUAGAUGGCCUUGGCUAGUUUGUUCUCGCGUACUAGAUGCAUGAUUCCAUGUGAUGUUAGCUGAACGAUGGUAGAUCUAUUAUAUGUCUAUGUAUGUGCGCGCGUUGAUCUGCGAGUGCUGGUCCUCGGAGAUUGCAUGAAUGAAUAAGGGGAAUCACAUCAUCUUGUGAGUGAGAUCUGUUCCCUGCUUUGUGAGAUCAUCGAUCAAUAAUUUUUAUGUGGUGUCCAUCUGAUGAUUGAUGGCCAAAGAGAUGAUUGAAGGAUCGAUGGCUCCUCCAUCGGGUCGGUUCGGUUCUCCGUUAAUUCCAUCGAUUUGCUUCGGCCUCUCUCAAGCUUUCUCUAGCUUGCGUCAACCCAUUUCUUUUAGAUGUUCUUGCAUCCUUCAAUCCAACAGUCAUUAGUGAGAACCUUUCCAGUGCCAGAUGUGCUCCGUAGAUGUUUUUGCAUCCUCUUCAUCGCCUCUUGACCUUGACGCAAACCUUUCCAGUGCCAGAUGUGCUCCGUAGGGCGACCAGCCCACCAUUAGUGAGAACAUGAGAACAUGACGAGUGCUGCAGCAUGCAAAACCCAACAACACCAUUCGACACCCAAACGGCCAAACCUUGCCACGAGAACUUGCAGGGCACUUGAAUCCAUCUUGCAACCAUAACCGAGUGUCUAGUACGUACAGUGGCUGAUAUGUGGACAAGAGAUGACCACCUUUUCCACUUUCACGUGUCCUUUUACAGCCUUUAAUUGUGUGUUUCCACAAGUUUGUCACACUGCCAUACAAAAAUUGUGUGUUUCUAUCUUCACAUGUCAGUUACACUAUCAUACAAAAAAUGGUUUGCUUAGCGUGUCCAUUUUCACAUUGUCAGUUACACUACCUGACAAAAAUCUAUUUGCUUAGCCUGGAAGGCUGGAAGCAGCACAAAAUUAAUGCCAAGAAAAUAGAAGCAAUGUACGCUGCCAAACGGGAAAUACUCCUAUAUAACAAGGCCCCCUCCCCUCUCCUCUACACCCAUCUACCAUAGAACCCAGCUCCAAGGCUUUCACAUUCUACCAUACAAUCCUCUUCAUCCUUCACAAGGAACCGCCAUGGGUCUGUCCGCGAAGGUCUUCGUGGUCCUCCUGCUGCUUCUCGUCGCCACGGGUAUGCUAUGUGCAUGCCUACCGUCAAAAUUAUUUGAGAUAACUGAUGAUCUACUUCUGCUAAAAUUGCGUGAGAUGACGACUGAUCUGCAUGCUUUGUUGAUUUUGGUGGUGCAGAGGAGCAGGGGGGAUCGGUGCAGGUGGCUCUGGCGAGGGAUUGCGAGUCGGAUAGCCACAAGUUCCAUGGGGCGUGCUUCAGCGACACCAACUGUGCGAACGUCUGCCAGACCGAGGGCUUCACCGCCGGCAAGUGCGUCGGCGUCCAGCGCCACUGCCACUGCACCAAGGACUGCUAGAUGCCUUGCCUAGAUGGCCCUGGCUACUUUGUUCUCGCGUACUGGAUGCAUGAUUCCCUGUGUGUGAUAUUAGCUGAACGAUAGUAGAUCUAUAUAUCUAUGUGUGUAUGCGUGUGUUGAUUUGCGAGCGCUAGUCGUCAGAGAUUUCAUGAAUGAAUAAAGGGAAUCGCAUCAUCUUAUGAGUAAGAUCCGUUCCCCGCUUUGUGAGAUCAUCGAUCAAUAAUUUUUAUGUGGUGUCCUUCUGAUGAUUGAUGGCCAAAGAGAUGAUGGAAAGGAAGACUCCUCCAUCAGUUCGGUUCGGUUCUCCGUGAAUUCGAUCGAUUUGCUUCAGCCUCUCUCAAGCUUGCUCUUGCUUGCGUCAAACCAUUUCUUUUAGAUGUUCUUGCAUCCAUCAAUCCAUCGGUUCCCUGCUUU
rnacentral:lncRNA from 1 species